UGGAGGACAGUGGUAAUACUUGGAAUUGGCCCCCAAUCUACUUAUUUGGUCCUCCAUGCCUUCCAUGUGUGUUUAACACUAUUUUUGAUCCAUGUAUAUAUUUCUAAAAUUGACAACGAAUACACAUCAUGGUGCAGCAUCAAUUCAACAAAUGUAUCACAUAUAAUUAUGAUAAAGAAUUGUUUCACCUCGGAGUCAAAAGAUGUCAAUAUGGUUGUAUCCGAGCAUGUGAUAUCCUCAUCAAUUGAUGUGACCCUACACACAACACCCAAGCAAAAAUGGAACAUGGAGACCUACUCCAGAGAGAGGACACCUUAUCAAUUCAGUCUUCCCUGUAC
rnacentral:lncRNA from 1 species